rnacentral:rRNA from 1 species
UAGAGGAAGUAAAAGUCGUAACAAGGUUUCCGUAGGUGAACCUGCGGAAGGAUCAUUACAGUAGUCGCCCGGGUUGCCGCAAGGCCUCCCGGGUAACCUACCACCCUUUGUUUAUUACACUUUGUUGCUUUGGCAAGCCUGCCCUCGGGCUGCUGGCUCCGGCCGGCGAGCGCUUGCCAGAGGACCUAAACUCUGUUUGUUAAUAUUGUCUGAGUACUAUAUAAUAGUUAAAACUUUCAACAACGGAUCUCUUGGUUCUGGCAUCGAUGAAGAACGCAGCGAAAUGCGAUAAGUAAUGUGAAUUGCAGAAUUCAGUGAAUCAUCGAAUCUUUGAACGCACAUUGCGCCCCCUGGUAUUCCGGGGGGCAUGCCUGUCCGAGCGUCAUUACAACCCUCAAGCUCAGCUUGGUGUUGGGCCCCGCCGCCCCGGCGGGCCCUAAAGUCAGUGGCGGUGCCGUCCGGCUCCGAGCGUAGUAAUUCUUCUCGCUCUGGAGGUCCGGUCGUGUGCUCGCCAGCAACCCCCAAUUUUUUUCAGGUUGACCUCGGAUCAGGUAGGGAUACCCGCUGAACUUAAGCAUAUCA